UCGGCGGCGGGAGGCAGCACUUACCGCCGCGGGGACGCGGGACUCCGGCUCCGGGCCGCUGGGGAGUCGCACGCGAGGGGGUACCUCCCUCCGCCGUCCGCGGGCGCCGGGCCCUCGGCCACUCAUCGGGGCGCCCUCUUGGGGUCGCUGCGUGGUUGCCAAAGUACGAUCCCGACCCCGGGGCUCUUGGGAUCUCAGCGCCAACAGAACUCGACCUGGGCCCGCGACAGGGGCCGGCGACGGUUCCCGGGGUUCCUGCAGCACCAGGGGGGAGGCGCCAGGCGCUGGAGCCCCGCAGGCACCCGAACCCGGCCCGCCGUUUGCAAAGCAGCUGAGGCGGGAGCGGAGGAGGCCGGCUGGCGGGGGCGGAGACACCGGAAGUUGGCGCGCAGGCGCAGUGCGCAGCACGUGCCUCCACCUGCCCGGCGUGUCUCAUUAGCAUGUUAAGUCUCCACCCCUGGCGGCCGCGAACCUACGGUAAGGGGGACGGAGCUAGCUGGUGAAGGGCCGGCUCGGGUCGGUCUAGGCGCAGGCCGGUUUGGUCCAGUUUCCUCUGCGGAGUUCCUUCUGGCAAACAUCCUGCUUCCGCAUUCCUAGGAGUGACAAAUGCCUGAGGCAAGUAGAGUGUGACACGUCUCCAGCACCUCCCCACCGUCUUCGUGUUCCUGUCUUACUGGAGGGAAAACCACCGUGGCCUGACCAUGGCCUGACCAUUGCCGGGGCUCCGGUAUUUUAAGAGCCUUCUGUAGCACAUGCAAGUCCUUUCGGGGGCCUCCCUCUCUUUUGGCUUUACCUCCCCCAACCCCACAGUGUAUAGGCACUCACUCCUCACAGCCCCGGUCCUGACUCUUUUGCCCACGGGUCCGUCCCUGGGCUUUAAUAAAAUCACCUUUUUGCACCAAA